rnacentral:rRNA from 1 species
AUUGAACGCUGGCGGCAGGCCUAACACAUGCAAGUCGCGCGAGCGGCGGACGGGUGAGUAAUGUAUGGGGAUCUGCCCGAUCGAGGGGGAUAACUACUGGAAACGGUGGCUAAUACCGCAUACUAUCGGAUGAACCCAUAUGGGAUUAGCUAGUCGGUGGGGUAAAGGCUCACCUAGGCGACGAUCUCUAGCUGGUCUGAGAGGAUGAUCAGCCACACUGGGACUGAGACACGGCCCAGACUCCGACGGGAGGCAGCAGUGGGGAAUAUUGCACAAUGGGUGCAAGCCUGAUGCAGCCAGGCCGCGUGUAUGAAGAAGGCCUUAGGGUGGUAAAGUACUUUCAGCGGGGAGGCGUUAACCGCAGAAGAAGCACCGGAUAACGCCGUGCCAGCAGCCGCGGUAAUAC